UCUUAUGUUCUUAUGUAAAUAAGAUGCAUGUCCUAGGUACGACCUGGCUGACAAGUAUAUUUAAGGAUGUAUUUUUGAGCACGUGCAGAAAGUUACAGUGCUUUUUUGUAGCAAUAGAAAACAAAAUCAACUCCAGUAAUUUUUUNCUGCGAGAGCCUGUGAGCAGGCUGAGGGUCCUUUCUGCUCAGAGGACCAUGAAUGGGAGGACAUCCCAAAAGAGCUUGACAGUGUUGGCUGGCCACCCGAGUUAGGGAUGGGAGCCAAGAGGAGGCGGGGAAAGGAAAGAUGACCACAGAUGGUCACCACUCAAAGAGGAAACGACAAGCACACAACCUUGUAACAUAGCAACCAUUUUGAGACAUCAUCCAAUGCAGUGGUUACAUGCUGAAAUAAUGACAAAAAGGAAGACGAAUGGAGAAGAAAAGGAUGAAGAAUAAAGGAGAGAGAGAGAAAAGAUAGAAACUGUGGCUAUCUUGCUAAAGACUCACUUCAACAACAGGCACUUGUAUCAGCAUAUUGAACCAGAAGGGAAGGCAAGUCAAUGUCAUCAUUGCAGAAGAACAUAACAGUUUCUGGACAUAAUAAUAAUACUUGUGUUUGAUGUAGCAUACUUAUCAGGUGGCGAACUGCUCAAAGCGCUUCACAAGAUUUACUGCAUUUUGUAAGCAAACACA